rnacentral:rRNA from 1 species
GCAUCAAGUCUGCUGUUAAAGGCUGGAGCUUAACUCCGGUAGAGCAGUGGAAACUGGUGCGCUAGAGGGCGACAGGGGUAGAGGGAAUUCCCAGUGUAGCGGUGAAAUGCGUAGAGAUUGGGAAGAACACCGGUGGCGAAAGCGCUCUACUGGGUCGCACCUGACCCUCAGGGACGAAAGCUAAGGUAGCGAAAGGGAUUAGAUACCCCUGUAGUCUUAGCCGUAAACGAUGGAUACUAGGCGUGGCUUGUAUCGACCCAAGCCGUGCCGAAGCUAACGCGUUAAGUAUCCCGCCUGGGGAGUACGCACGCAAGUGUGAAACUCAAAGGAAUUGACGGGGGCCCGCACAAGCGGUGGAGGAUGUGGUUUAAUUCGAUGCAACGCGAAGAACCUUACCAGGGCUUGACAUCCCGCGAAUCUCGGUGAAAGCCGAGAGUGCCUUCGGGAGCGCGGAGACAGGUGGUGCAUGGCUGUCGUCAGCUCGUGUCGUGAGAUGUUGGGUUAAGUCCCGCAACGAGCGCAACCCUCGUCCUUAGUUGCCAGCAUUGAGUUGGGCACUCUAGGGAGACUGCCGGUGACAAACCGGAGGAAGGUGAGGAUGACGUCAAGUCAGCAUGCCCCUUAUGCUCUGGGCAACACACGUCCUACAAUGGUCGGGACAAAGGGGAGCGAGCUCGCGAGAGUCAGCGAAUCCCAGCAAACUCGGCCUCAGUUCAGAUUGCAGGCUGCAACUCGCCUGCAUGAAGGAGGAAUCGCUAGUA